rnacentral:rRNA from 1 species
GACGAACGCUGGCGGCGUGCCUAAUACAUGCAAGUCGAGCGAGUCUGCCUUGAAGAUCGGAGUGCUUGCACUCUGUGAAACAAGAUACAGGCUAGCGGCGGACGGGUGAGUAACACGUGGGUAACCUGCCCAAGAGAUCGGGAUAACACCUGGAAACAGAUGCUAAUACCGGAUAACAACAGAUGAUGCCUAUCAACUGUUUAAAAGAUGGUUCUGCUAUCACUCUUGGAUGGACCUGCGGUGCAUUAGCUAGUUGGUAGGGUAACGGCCUACCAAGGCGAUAAGGCAUAGCCGAAGGGAGAGACUGGUCGGCCACAUUGGGACUGAGACACGGCCCAAACUCCUACGGGAGGCAGCAGUAGGGAAUCUUCCACAAUGGACGCAAGUCUGAUGGAGCAACGCCGCGUGAGUGAAGAAGGGUUUCGGCUCGUAAAGCUCUGUUGUUGGUGAAGAAGGACAGGGGUAGUAACUGACCUUUGUUUGACGGUAAUCAAUUAGAAAGUCACGGCUAACUACGUG